UGGCUCUCGCAUCGAUGAAGAACGCAGCGAAAUGCGAUAAGUAAUGUGAAUUGCAGAAUUCAGUGAAUCAUCGAAUCUUUGAACGCACCUUGCGCUCCUUGGUAUUCCGAGGAGCAUGCCUGUUUGAGUGUCAUGGUACUCUCAACCUCUGUUGCUUUUUUGCAGCUUUGGUUGGAUGUGGAGGCUUGCUGGCGCAUUCGUGUGUCUGCUCCUCUGAAAUGCAUUAGUUUGGACUGUCUCCGAGCAUGCUUCAGCGUGAUAAUUGUCUGCGCUGCUGCGUCUUGGUACAAAAAUGUCCCUGCUUACAACCGUCCCUCAGUGGACAACCUAUGAACUUCUGACCUCAAAUCAGGUAGGACUACCCGCUGA
rnacentral:misc_RNA from 1 species